UGGGGAAUAGCCAAAGUGGUAAGGCAUAUAUGACAUUAAAGUCAUUAUCUAGGUUCAAAUCCUAGUUCCCCAG
rnacentral:tRNA from 1 species